AUUGAACGCUGGCGGCAGGCCUAACACAUGCAAGUCGAGCGGAUGAAGGGAGCUUGCUCCUGGAUUCAGCGGCGGACGGGUGAGUAAUGCCUAGGAAUCUGCCUGGUAGUGGGGGAUAACGUCCGGAAACGGGCGCUAAUACCGCAUACUUCCUGAGGGAGAAAGUGGGGGAUCUUCGGACCUCACGCUAUCAGAUGAGCCUAGGUCGGAUUAGCUAGUUGGUGGGGUAAAGGCCUACCAAGGCGACGAUCCGUAACUGGUCUGAGAGGAUGAUCAGUCACACUGGAACUGAGACACGGUACAGACUCCUACGGGAGGCAGCAGUGGGGAAUAUUGGACAAUGGGCGAAAGCCUGAUCCAGCCAUGCCGCGUGUGUGAAGAAGGUCUUAGGAUUGUAAAGCACUUUAAGUUGGGAGGAAGGGCAGUAAGUUAAUACCUUGCUGUUUUGACGUUACCAACAGAAUAAGCACCGGCUAACUUCGUG
rnacentral:rRNA from 1 species